rnacentral:rRNA from 1 species
ACUCCUACGGGAGGCAGCAGUGGGGAAUCUUGCGCAAUGGGCGAAAGCCUGACGCAGCCAUGCCGCGUGGAUGAUGAAGGUCUUAGGAUUGUAAAAUCCUUUCACCGGGGACGAUAAUGACGGUACCCGGAGAAGAAGCCCCGGCUAACUUCGUGCCAGCAGCCGCGGUAAUACGAAGGGGGCUAGCGUUGCUCGGAAUUACUGGGGCGUAAAGGGCGCGUAGGCGGACAGUUAAGUUGGGGGUGAAAGCCCGGGGCUCAACCUCGGAAAUGCCUUCAAUACUGGCUGUCUUGAGUACGGGAGAGGUGAGUGGAACUCCGAGUGUAGAGGUGAAAUUCGUAGAUAUUCGGAAGAACACCAGUGGCGAAGGCGACUCACUGGCCCGUUACUGACGCUGAGGCGCGAAAGCGUGGGGAGCAAACAGGAUUAGAUACCCUGGUAGACUGUCA